rnacentral:rRNA from 1 species
AUUGAACGCUGGCGGCAGGCCUAACACAUGCAAGUCGAGCGGAGAGGCGGAAGGGUGAGUGAUGCCUAGGAAUCUGCCUGUUAGUGGGGGAUCACGUCCGGAAACGGGCGCUAAUACCGCAUAAUUUCAGGUGAGCCUCGGGCGUAUUAGCUAGUUGGUGGGGUAAAGGCUUACCAAGGCGACGAUCCGUAACUGGUCUGAGAGGAUGAUCAGUCACACUGGAACUGAGACACGGUCCAGACUCCUACGGGAGGCAGCAGUGGGGAAUAUUGGACAAUGGGCGAAAGCCUGAUCCAGCCAUGCCGCGUGUGUGAAGAAGGUCUUCGGAUUGUAAAGCACUUUAAGUUGGGAGGCGUUACCUACAGAAUAAGCACCGGCUAACUUCGUGCCAGCAGCCGCGGUAAUUC